GAGACCGGCGCACGGGUGCGUAACGCGUAUGCAAUCUACCUCUAUCUGGGGGAUAGCCCGAAGAAAUUCGGAUUAACACCGCAUAAAAUCACAGUACCGCAUGGUACAAUGAUCAAAUAUUUAUAGGAUAGAGAUGAGCAUGCGUGUCAUUAGUUAGUUGGUGGGGUAACGGCCCACCAAGACCGCGAUGACUAGGGGAUCUGAGAGGAUGACCCCCCACACUGGUACUGAGACACGGACCAGACUCCUACGGGAGGCAGCAGUAAGGAAUAUUGGUCAAUGGAGGCAACUCUGAACCAGCCAUGCCGCGUGCAGGAAGACAGCCCUCUGGGUCGUAAACUGCUUUUAUUCGGGAAUAAACCUAUCUACGUGUAGAUAGCUGAAUGUACCGAAGGAAUAAGGAUCGGCUAACUCCGUGCCAGCAGCCGCGGUAAUACGGAGGAUCCAAGCGUUAUCCGGAUUUAUUGGGUUUAAAGGGUGCGUAGGCGG
rnacentral:rRNA from 1 species